GACGAACGCUGGCGGCGUGCUUAACACAUGCCAGUCGAACGGGAUCCGGGCUUUCGGGUUUGGUGAGAGUGGCGAACGGGUGAGUAACACGUGAGUAACCUGCCCCCUUCUUUGGGAUAACGUCGGGAAAUCGGCGCUAAUACUGGAUAUUCUUGCUGCAUCGCAUGGUGUGGUUUGGAAAGGGUUUCUGGUGGGGGAUGGGCUCGCGGCCUAUCAGCUUGUUGGUGGGGUGAUGGCCUACCAAGGCUUUGACGGGUAGCCGGCCUGAGAGGGUGUCCGGCCACACUGGGACUGAGACACGGCCCAGACUCCUACGGGAGGCAGCAGUGGGGAAUAUUGCACAAUGGGCGCAAGCCUGAUGCAGCGACGCCGCGUGAGGGAUGACGGCCUUCGGGUUGUAAACCCCUUUCAGUAUGGAACAAGGAUCCUUCUUUUGGGGGGUUUGAGGGUACGUGCAGAAGAAGCGCCGGCUAACUACGUG
rnacentral:rRNA from 1 species